rnacentral:lncRNA from 1 species
GGAAAUAGGCAAACUUAUAAGCAUUCAGAAAACCCUAACGAGCAGAGGUGCAAGAAGAGAGCGAGAAAUUCAAAGACAGGAAGAAUAAAAGAGGCGAAUGGAAUAGAACUCAACGAAAUUGGAGGUCUCGUGGUCAUAGACAGUGGUGGGACUCAAGCAGACAGCGCGGAAGGUCAAAGAGGUCUGAGCCCCCACCAUUUGGAACCUUCCAGUCCAGAGAAACUGAAAAUGGCGGUCCCUGGUUUAAAAUUUUCUCAGCAACCAAACAGGUUUAAAAAUUAGAGUAUUGUUAAACGAACCCUAAAAUUAACUGAG